AGUGAACGCUGGCGGUAGGCCUAACACAUGCAAGUCGAACGGCAGCACAGUAAGAGCUUGCUCUUACGGGUGGCGAGUGGCGGACGGGUGAGGAUUACAUCGGAAUCUACUUUUUCGUGGGGGAUAACGUAGGGAAACUUACGCUAAUACCGCAUACGACCUACGGGUGAAAGCAGGGGAUCUUCGGACCUUGCGCGAUUGAUUGAGCCGAUGUCGGAUUAGCUAGUUGGCGGGGUAAAGGCCCACCAAGGCGACGAUCCGUAGCUGGUCUGAGAGGAUGAUCAGCCACACUGGAACUGAGACACGGUCCAGACUCCUACGGGAGGCAGCAGUGGGGAAUAUUGGACAAUGGGCGCAAGCCUGAUCCAGCCAUACCGCGUGGGUGAAGAAGGCCUUCGGGUUGUAAAGCCCUUUUGUUGGGAAAGAAAAGCAGCAGGUUAAUACCCCGCUGUUCUGACGGUACCCAAAGAAUAAGCACCGGCUAACUUCGUG
rnacentral:rRNA from 1 species